rnacentral:lncRNA from 1 species
GGGUUAAAAUGCUAGUAUAUAUAAAAUCCUCCACAGUAGUAGUAUAUUAGUGGAAGGGAACUAAUGGAAAGUUAUUUGACAAAUCAUAUUUCCUAAUCUCAAGUAACCAACGUCUGUGAUUAGUGGAGGUUGAGAAAUGGUUUCUAAGUUACCAGAAAUUUACUUACACUAGUGUACUCUUUCACUGAUUAAUUUCUGUCUAUUAAGAAAACAAA